GGAUGUGAGGGUGAUCUGGCAGCGACAUCUGUCACCUCAUUGAUCACAGGGUUGAUUUGGGACAUCUGUCUGGGUCAGUGGGUGUCCCUUUUUCCCUCACUGCUCCAUGUGCCUCCCUGUAAAAGUUGUCUACUUGGUCAAAGAGGAUAACCUUCCUCAAGAGAGGAAUACCAUUCUUUGAGUUAUAUGAGUAGCUGUGCACCCCUGCUAGAACCUCCUAACAAGCUCUCCAAGUUCAAAAACUGUCCAAAUGCAAACCAGUAUUACAAUUGCUUCUUGAAUGUUAGUGUGCAU
rnacentral:snRNA from 1 species